ACCUGCAGUUUAGACUAGGUAAUUCCUCUGAAGCUAAGCAUGUCUGAGCCUGGCCAGUACUUGGGAGAUGGGAGAUCAUGUAGGAGAGCUGGGUUGCUGCUGGAA
rnacentral:rRNA from 1 species